rnacentral:rRNA from 1 species
CAAUAGCGUAUAUUAAAGUUGUUGCAGUUAAAAAGCUCGUAGUCGGAUUUUGGCAUCACGCCGCACUGUCUGCCGAUUGGUAAGUACGGUUUGGCGGUUGCUUCCUUCCGGUGCUUUAUGCUGCUCUUAAUUGAGCGGUAUGCUAGUUCCGGUUCAUUUACUUUGAGAAAAUUAGAGUGUUCAAAGCAGGCCUAUGCUCUGAAUAGGUUAGCAUGGAAUAAUAGAAUAGGACUUUGGUUCUAUUUUGUUGGUUUCUAGGACCGAAGUAAUGAUUAAUAGGGACAGUUGGGGGCAUUCAUAUUCCAUUGUCAGAGGUGAAAUUCUUGGAUUAACGGAAGAUGAACUUCUGCGAAAGCAUCUGCCAAGGAUGUUUUCAUUGA